rnacentral:tRNA from 2 species
GGCCCCGUAGCUCAGCUGGAUAGAGCGAUCGCCUCCUAAGCGAUAGGCCACUGGUUCGACUCCAGUCGGGGCCGCCA